rnacentral:rRNA from 1 species
UACGUAGGGGGCAAGCGUUGUCCGGAAUCAUUGGGCGUAAAGAGCGUGUAGGCGGUUCGAUAAGUCUGCUGUGAAAGUCCAAGGCUCAACCUUGGGAUGCCGGUGGAUACUGUCGAACUCGAGUCCGGAAGAGGAGUGUGGAAUUCCUGGUGUAGCGGUGAAAUGCGCAGAUAUCAGGAGGAACACCGAUGCGAAGGCAGCACUCUGGGACGUGACUGACGCUGAGACGCGAAAGCGUGGGGAGCAAACAGG